AGUCUGAAACUUCCAAAGUAGUGACUUCUACUUUGUUUUCUCUUUAGUAAGACCACCAUAGGGAUGCCAUUAAUCUUAAAGCCAGUCUACUGACAACACAAGUUAACAGAAUCACAGAAUAGUUAGGAUUGGAAAAGAGCUUUAAGAUCAUCAAGUUAAGACAGAAUGAUCAGCAGUGAUAAAGAAUAAGUACUAUUUCCUUUUA